rfam:Callithrix jacchus chromosome 13, whole genome shotgun sequence
UUUUUAGGAUAAGUAUAUCCCAUGCAUUAUUUGGGACAUACUUAGACUAAAA